AAUUUUGGACAAUGGGGGCAACCCUGAUCCAGCCAUGCCGCGUGUGUGAAGAAGGCCUUCGGGUUGUAAAGCACUUUCGGACGGAACGAAAUCGCGCGAUCUAACAAAGCGCGUGGAUGACGGUACCGUAAGAAGAAGCACCGUCUAACUACGUGCCAGCAGCCGCGGUAAAACGUAGGGUGCGAGCGUUAAUCGGAAUUACUGGGAGUAAAGUGUGCGCAGGCGGCCGCGCAAGUCGAGUGUGAAAGCCCCGGGCUUAACUUGGGAAUUGCGCUCGAAACUACGUGGCUGGAGUAUGGCAGAGGAAGGUGGAAUUCCACGUGUAGCGGUGAAAUGCGUAGAGAUGUGGAGGAACACCGAUGGCGAAGGCAGCCUUCUGGGCCAAUACUGACGCUCAUGCACGAAAGCGUGGGGAGCAAACAG
rnacentral:rRNA from 1 species